ACAAGAAAAACAUGAAAAAUUAGAAUGAUGGAAAGUACAUGGAAGUUCAUUUUACUCUAUAUACACAUCUUUGUUAGCCUUAAUAAUCUUUACCUUUGUGAAGCAGACAAGUAGUCUUCUCCAUUUUAUCCAAACAAAUAUUAUUUUCCACACUAUGUCACAGAGAGAGUUACAAUCAGAAUUAAGCUUAUGAGCUCCUAUCUGUCUCUUGCUUUUACCUCUACAAUUUGCCAUUUUAUUUAGCUGUAUGUUACUAGAACUUCAGGACUAGCCUUCUGCUGAUGCAUGUUUCAAGAGGAUGGCAGAUUGUGAGCUGCUUACCUCUCUCCCUCAUCUCUCAGGUCACCCUUGAUUUUUGACUCAUAUCAAACCUGCGUGGAAUCAUGAAUUGGACUCAAUGAUUCCUGUGCAUCCCUUCCAAGGAUGUUCUAUGAUUCUUUUUAUUCUACCCUUUUUAACUAUUAAAAUUAUGCAAAGCUCAAUGGAGGGAAUUAUGCACUAUUUCUUCACUGUAAAGCUGGGGCACUUUUACCUCUUUGAUGUGAUUGAUCAUAAAUCAGGCCUUGUAAUAUAAUUUAUGAUUAUUUUCCCAUAAUUCUGAUCCCACAAUUAAAACAACCUUUUUGGUUUUGUAAUCCUCCAGCCAGCACAUGUAGCAACAGAUCUCCAGAAACUUAAUCUUUGUCUUUUUUAGCUCACAGUCUUUCAAAUACUGUGUUUACACCCUUUGCAGAUAGUGCCUGAGCAUCUCCCUCAAAGGAAGAGAAUUGCACGGGCUUCUGAUUACCUCUGUGAUGAGAACGUUCUUUUUAAUUUUUUUUAUUUAUUUAUUUUUUUUUUUGUUAAAAAUCACAAGAUAUGGAAAAUGCAGAUCUUAAGCUAGAAAACAGGUGGACAUAAUUACAAACUUUUCAUGAAUGCUUUUUUUUGAAGAUACUGAAAAAAUGAAACACGUAGCCCAAUUGAUUUUAUAUUGUUAAUUAGAAAAGAAAAAUUGCUUUGGAUUUUUCUCUUCCCAUUAUCAGUUCUUACAUCUGGGGAGGAAAGGAAAAGAUGAAUUAAGUCUUUGGAAACACUGGGCUAAGAUUUCUGAAAAACGUGAAAUAUUUUUAAACCCAGACACUGUUUUCAGUCGUGACUCUCACACAUGUAUAUCUCAAAUAUUUAUAUGUUUUAAUAUAGGUUUUAGUAUGUAUAUCUGGAAAUAUAUGUUUCUAAGGAUUUGGCAGAUCUUUAGUUACUUACAAUAAGUAUUAUAUUUGCAAUAUAAUAGAAAUCAUAAAAACAGCCUCAGUCAAAACUAUGUGAAAGGUGUUUAGAAUAGAUGGAAAAAGAGAUGUAUGAAUACGAUUUUAAAAGCAUUGCAUUGCAUUUACUAGUAUUUGUGUUGUGUCAUAGCUCUCCCUUGUUAUUUUGCCAGCUCAUGAAGAACAAGAGAGGUCCCAAGGGGCUGUUGGUGCACCCUGAGUGGCAGAGCAAUGCUCUUCCUUUGCUGUUCUUUUUAAAACACUAAAUCAUAAUGAGGACAGAGGCUAGACGUUUUUACAGUUAAAGAGGAAAUAAAUGAUUAAGCUUUUACGGUAAAGGUCAGUGUCUUGAGGACAGUGCCAACUGACAGCACUGAAAACCGAAAUCCUCUUUUAGCCACAGAAUAGAUCCCAUUCAGCCACAGUUACAGAAACCAUUUCAAAGUUUUUUACUGAUUUGAAGAGGCAUGUGAUUUCUGGCUGAUACAGCAAAGAACCACAUCACCCAAGGCAAGGCAAAAGCCCUUUAGAGAAAGGAUGACCUUAGACAACCUCCAGCUGCGGACUGCGGAAUGGAUUAGAAGCCUCAACAGAGGACCUCCGGCGCCCCCUAGAGGCCUCUGCGGCGGCUGCAAACCGCGAAAACCUACCCCUUCCUCCACAGCUCCUGGAACCCUGCUCUGCUCAUCUUCAUCCGCCUUGAUGUCUGGAUGAAAGACAUGUUUUAUUUGCCAUUUAUCACAGUGGGGGUUUCGGUGUGCAACAGUAAGCCAUCCCUUUAAUGAUGCGUUCAGCUGGCAGCAUUGUUCGGCUUAAGUAACUACUUGCCAAAAAAGGAAAAGAAUUUGUUCUCUCUCUGGAUUUGUUAUUUCAUUAGGGUUCCUCAGGAGAACUCCAAUAAAGGAUUUGGGGCUAUUAAUCACCCUCCACAACCUUCUCAAGUAAUUAGUCUUUAAAAAUAUUUGCCACCUCCCUAGUACUACAUAAUGCAACAGCGCUGGGUGAACCAGACAAGGUUCAGCCCCACUAACCGUCAGAGAUUGGGCCUGUCUGAGCCCAUCAGUCUGGGCCCCAGAUGAACAGAAAUCAGCACUUUUUUCAUUCUUUGUGGCAGGUUUAUAGUACAGCCCCGCUGGAUGCCUGCCACGAAGGAAAAAGCAAAACAUAUAAAUUCUUCAUAAGACAACAGUAGAAGGUGGCACUGAGAAAUAAUGUGCUCGUACUGUCAGAGGCACAGUGGGGAGACGUGGGGGGGGGGUAGGGGGGAGGAGGAGCAUUCAUUCUGAGACAGAUGUAGCAACACUUGCUCCUGUUUAACUCCCUAAAUGGGUAAUCCCACUUUAUGGGACUCUGGUGAUGGAAAUCUUGCUGGCAUUGCUCAGAUUUUUUUUAUUUUUAUUUUUUUCCCAGUGAUUAUGAGUACUCAGGAGAGCACUGCAAGCAUCUCACAGUUUUAGAUACAGAUCCCCUGAAAUAAGAAUAAAAUGCAAUGUUAUUUGAGAAUGCAUUCAUUUUGAUGGUAUAUUCCAUGGUGGACAUAGCUAAAAUAAUUGCAGUUUAUUCCAUCCAUAAAAUGGACAAGGAGGCAGCUUUGAAUGGAAAAUCCAAAGUCGCUGUAAAAAUACAUUUGGCACCACCAGGUAACACUGUUCACAUGCCUUGUUACUUUUCUUGGCAUUCCCAGUUACACUGGCCUUGUUUCUGGUAAAUUAAGAAAGCGAUUACAGAUUCAUAGAUUGCUUUGGGGACAUGCCAGGGUUUUGUAUUUGGCAUAACAGAGAUACUUGCAAAGCACCUGAGCCAGAGCUGUUCUGAACAUAAGGAUUUCAUUUUGCUGCACACUUUGAGGUUCAGAUUUCUAACAGUGACUUUGUUCUGACCUUGUUCUGGUAAUGAAGGCCUUCAAAUGAUUUUGCAAAAAAUGUUUGAGCCAAAAUGUCCAUUUUCAGAAUAUAUCCUUCUGCUUUUUUUAUUUUAGUUCUUUUUUUUUUCUUUUUCUUUUCCUGAUACUGGACAGACACACUGACACUAUAUACUUUGGAGACCAGGUGGGCAACAGAAAUAAAGUUACCAGCUCAAAUCUAUGCUCUUCCACUGUCUAAGUGCAGCUUUUCAUUCGAGAUCACAUUAAAUGGGUCAGAAAAACUAUGCCAACAGGACACUAAUGUUCUAAGCCAGCAUCCUUUAAAAUACAAAAUCUCAGCCAAAUGAAUUCAAACUGAUUCAUUUCUUUUGCCAGAGUGAAGUAUGCAAUUGGGAAAAAAAAAGAUGUUUUGGAAUUUAAAUAUAGUGAAGAGGCAUGAAUAUAUUUUAACCUAGUCCAAACUAAUUUGGAGGAUGAGGAGCAGGAGAAAUAAGGAGUGUGUUUACCUGUAUAAUCUCACCUUUUGCCACUGAAAUGUAGAUACACUGAAUAUUUUCAGAUGGGGGCACAUCUCUCCAGUCAGAAAAAUUUGUCUCCACUUCAAGAAAUGGCUGCAUAUUAGGUUAUAGGCUCUUCACACAUAAUAGGCAGUACUUGCAUUAGCAAGUUAUCCUGCUAAAAUAAAUGGGGAAAAAGUUCCCUAAGGUCAGUAAAUGACGAUAUAUUAUCUCUCAGUAUUUCUGGUCAUAUAGCAUGCAUACAAUUAAAAGAUAGUUGGAUGUGUCUGACACUUCACCAGGAGCUGUGUGCUUUCAUUUUCAGGCCAGAAGCAAGAGUUUCUGAAAGGUAGACACAGUAGUUCUGUCCUGCAGAUAGAUACAAAAAAGUGGAAAGAACGUGUUUAUUGGGAGACAUUUAUGAAUAAUGUUUAAAGAGUGAGCUGAUCAGCAUGUUGCCACAUACCUAAAUUAAUGUCCCUUAGGAAAAUACAAGUCCUAAAGUCAAUUCUACUGCACUUAUCUGCUAAAAAAACUACAGACUGGCAGGAUCUAUGAUGAGUUCUCUUUAUUAUAAACACUUAAAUGAUUUUUGCAUGUAUACAUGUGUUUGUGGCUAUUUGUACAUACAGUACACACCACAGCAUGUAUCUGAAAAUAAUUGGUAAAACAUGCUUGAAAAUAUCAUUGUCUCCAUCUGCUUCCCUCAGGUUUUAGCAUGAGCAAGCAUCCAGAAAAUAGCGACAAUGUCACUUUUUGCUUGUGCCUAAAGCACUGCUGAAUGAGUCCUGCAGAUCUUGCUGGCAACUGCAGGAUUCCUCUACCCUAUUUAAAGGAAAAAAGGAAAAAAAGAAAAAGGAGCGAAAUGCUGUAACUUUGUGUUCUUUUACUCCUAGACCAGGAAUCUUUAAUAAUUAUGGUUCUAGCACGUUAGCAUUCCUCUAAAACUACUCCUCAUGGUGAUUGAGAGGGAUUUUAAGUAAUCUUACAGCUGGUUGUAAAAUCUCAGUGACUGAAGUAGGCAUAGGAACUGGCAGACACUUGGAAGCUGAACACUUGCAACAUUUUUACUUACCUCUGGCGCUAAUAACACUUCAGAAGACCGGGGAGGGAGAAGGAACAACACAGGAUCUAACAUUUCUGCUUCCAUUUAUGCAAUUUGUUAUUCUUUUCGUCUUCAAGCAGUGAAAAUAUAAGCUGUUUGUUAAUGUCCUGGUUCUCCUGGCUCAUGUAAAAGGGCAGGCAGAUAACAUCUAGUAGCUGUACUGGGAUACUGUAUGUACUUUUUUCACUCUACGGUUUAAUGCUAUUGGGUUUAAUUAAAAAAUAUGUGGUGUCAUUUUCAGUGAUAUUGCUUAUGAAAUGGUUUUGCAUUACACAAUGAUAUUGACUGUGUAAUGAAUCAGACAAACCAAGCCAGCCUCCAUCUGGUAAUGCCUGUGUUAAGCUUCAAGUACACAAGUUUGCAGAACACCUCAUUUUGGAAUAAUGAAAUUGUCCUGUAAGGAUGUGGAAACAGAACCUGGAGAAACCAGAUGCUGAAUUCUCCUUCCAUCAAGGACUUGAAGUUGCUGGAUGACUUCGUAUUGGUACAUGUGAGCAGAUGUGAAACUGGUCUAGAAAAAUACUUACAGAGCAACUAAGAGCUACCAUGAUUGCAGGAGUUUUGUUCCCAAGCUAUCGGAAAACCUGCCCUAAUUUCUGCAAGCGUAAUUAUUCGCACAUGCGAGAUUCAUCACUCUGAUAAACUGUGACUGUCCCCUCUGAAGUAUUUUCCCACUGCAUGCUGAAAACUAAUCUUGCUGUGACUGAUUACUUAACUUUUUUUUUCUUAGUUCCUCAGUUGUAUGGUGAUUGGACUAAUAAAUGGAAACCAGAUAA